rnacentral:misc_RNA from 1 species
CUUUUGUUUUAUUUGAAAUGCAAGUGCAUAAUUAUUAGUUCUCCCUCUUUUGAUCUCUUUACAAUAUCAUGUAUAAUUAACGAUCAAUGCUAUUUUUUUAACUUCAUUUUUUGAUAUCUUAUCUUUUCUAUACUUGAAGGCUGAAGAGCUGUUUAUAUUCUCUUAUCUUGCAUAAUGUUUCAUGCUUUUCUGCAUGUACUUGUAAUGUGCUAGAAG